rnacentral:sRNA from 1 species
UGCAUCUGGGGCCAGUGAGGAUGAGAACCUCCGGGGGCAGGAGGUUCGACUCGAGCGAAGCGAGAGAACGUUGCGUCAGCAACGGCCCGCAGGGCGAGCCAC